rnacentral:lncRNA from 1 species
GAAAUUUUUUUAUAUUUUAUCCUAAUAACAAUAUUAUUAAGGAAAAACUUUAAAUACUACCCAUAUGGUUUCGCACUUUCUCACUUUAGUAUCAUGUUGUUUAAAGUGUAUCAAGUUAGUGUCCGGUGGUUUUAUUUUUCUUUUUUUAUUAUCUAUUAAACUAAUUUUUUUUCAUUAAAUCAGUGACAAAGUUAAAACUAAAGAAUACUAAAAUGAAUAUCGAUAAACCUAGGUAGGGUAUCUGAAGUUUUUUGUAUAUAAUUUAACGAAAUAUUAACGGAGGAGCUGACGAAAGAAAAAAAAAAAAAAACCAUAAGAUACUAACUUAUUGCACUUUAAACUACAUGAUACUAAAGUGAGAAAAAUGUAAAACCAUAAGAGCCGUAUUUGAAGUUUAUCCAUAUAUUAAAUUUGCUG